GACGCCGGCGAUGGCAGUCGGCCACGUCCCCUCCAGCCCCGCAGGUCUGUCACCUCUCUCCGGGACCGGUUUCUGCUCGUGUCACAGCCCUGUCCUCCGGAUGGCAACUACGGGAGAAAGUGCACUAUUUCUGCUGCAGCUUCCUGUCCUUGACCCAACGGUACAUUGUGAAGUUCUCCUGAGUCAAUGAAUCCUGAUAAAAUGCAGUAAAGGAUUUAAGGUUAUCAUCUGUCUCUCCCUAACUUCUGACAUCUCUUUAUAACAAGAAAGAGCCACAGCCAACUGUAACAGGAGGGCAACACAAUGAAUCCUG